rnacentral:rRNA from 1 species
UACGUAGGGUGCGAGCGUUGUCCGGAAUUAUUGGGCGUAAAGGGCUCGUAGGCGGUUUGUCGCGUCGGGAGUGAAAACUCAGGGCUCAACCCUGAGCCUGCUUCCGAUACGGGCAGACUAGAGGUAUGCAGGGGAGAACGGAAUUCCUGGUGUAGCGGUGAAAUGCGCAGAUAUCAGGAGGAACACCGGUGGCGAAGGCGGAUCUCUGGGCCGUAACUGACGCUGAGGAGCGAAAGCAUGGGGAGCGAACAGG